CAGUCAUUUCAGACCUCUUCUUGGCCAGAAUGCAUUGUUUCAAUUUACAUUUCUUUUUUUUCUUUAGUGCUACAUCCACUUUUUUUCUCUGUCUACUCGUGUUCCUGCUCCAGUGAACAUUUACAGUAGUUUCUCAGCUGUUACCCACCCUUCUGUUAUCUCUUUCUCAUUUAUUUUCUUUCUUUACAGUGUCCUGCAUGAAAGUAUCUACUUAUGCACUGAAAUGUUUAUUCCUGGAAGAGAUAAAACCUUUUCAUAACAGCACACUGGCAGUGAUCUACCCAAUCUACAUGUACUCAGAACAGAAAAGUACUCUUGUGAGAAGAGUACACCUCUCUGCCCAUAUCUAGACUUAUCAUCUGUUGUUGCAUGUCACAUAAUAUGUGGUGUUAUCUAUCGAAUGCUGAUAAAGGGUUGGUAUGUACAAUGGUGCCUUUCUGGAUGCAGUAUGUUUUGUAGAAACCCAAGUAAACAUUGUCUGUAAUGGGACUAACAGAUUUUCAGAAACAUCUCAAUCUGAUAAAAAAAAAGUAUGUAAUGACAAGGAAGAUUCUCCCAUUAUAUAUAUACUGCUAAAUGAAAGAAGACUAGGUUCUGAUUCUUGUCUAUGUUACCAGGGACUGGGCUCUGCCAUUAUGGAUGGGUAUCAGAAAACUAGACAGCCGUAUGGAUGACUUGCUUCCAGGCUACCUUUCCGUUUAGCAGCAUACUCUUGUGUGAUAGGUAACAUCCACUGACAAAACUGAACAUUUAAGCAGUAGAAGUGUCAAGUCUGGGGUUGUUGUUGCUGCACAUUGCUCUGGGAUGAAGCUGUGUUUUGUGCUCAUUGUCAGUGUGACUUUCUCCACCCAUUGCCAGUCGAGCUGUAUUCAUCAUUACUUCUGCUUCUUCUGCGGCAGCCCUAGGAAUAGAAAAUGGUGUCUUCUCUGUCUCUUCAGAAUCUUGAAAUCCUGCAAUACUGCACCACUGAUACCAAAGUGCUCUUCUAUGUGAAUAAGACACAUACUCCUAUACUAAAUUUUGUUAUUAAAGUCAAAAUCUACAUGUUCUUCUGGCUAAGAUCAGUUACUUUGGAGGUAGUCUGGAAGCAGUCUUCUGUACAGUGCUCUGUACACUCCGCCUGCGGUCUGCACACUAUUUGCAGUGCUCUUGGAUAACGUUCAUUUCAGGCUUCAAUUGAAAGGCAGAGAUGUAAGAAGCCGCACCAGCUAAAGGGAAAUAUAUGCUGUUAGGAGGGUUUUGAGACCAGCCAUCAAAGAUGUGACAUGGGGAAUCCAGUCAACAGUGGAGCUGUAAGGACCAUUUGCGGCACAGUCUAUGCGUUGUGAAUGUUGAAAUAUACUGAGCACAAAUGAAAUGAAAUGAAUGAAGAGCGUGAACUUCAUAUAGGGAAUUAAGAAAUAUGGCUUAAAUCUCCUUAGACAGAAGAAAAAAUGGAACUCUGCUCACUGUACAGCAAAGGUUGAUUGGCUAAUGUACACUGAAAAGGAGGACAAAGGAAUAGAAAAUAGGUCAUCAACAAGAGCUGGAAAGAAAAAAGCAACAAGCAGCCAGAAUCUACCUCUUCAUCUAGAACUCUGCUAAAUUUUCUGAGUAAAUGACCAUUAACUGAGGUCCUGAGGAAAAGCAGAUGUCGGGACUCCUUAUUUCUAGGACCUGAGUGGAUGCUGGAGUUAACUUGUUUCCAAUCUGAAUGGCAUUAUAAAGGACAUACUAUAAGAGUCUGCAUGUAUCUGUUUCUUGAAAUGCCUGAUGAAUUCUUUGGUAAAACUGUAAGUUACUGGAGUUCAGAUAUUUUUGCUGAACAGUUCUGCAUUAAGUACAAAGAGUACAUAAAGUUCGGAACAUUUGCAAAGAAGUUUAUGAAUCUGAGUAGCCUCACAGCAUCAAUAUUCCUCCUUUCUUUGUGUAGUCAAGAUGUCCUUUCUCAUUAUGUAGAGAUGUGAUUCCAUAUCAUUUUGUAUAUUUGAGCUACACAUUUUUGAGAAGCAUACCUGAAGGCAGCACAUUACCUCUAAACCCUUGUAGUCCUCUGUAGUUAAUCCCAAAUGAGUCAUGCAAUACAAUUAGUCUUUAUAACAUAGUAAAAAUGGGAAAUCUGUCUUUGAAAACUUAAUUCCAAGGAUCACUUUCCUGUUCAUAGCCAUUAACUUAUUUAAAAGUAAAAAUAUGUAACAUUCAAACACAAACAUAAAUGGUACCAGGAUAAAAUAGAUAAAAAAAGGAAGAUUACAUCAAAGAUAUAAUUUACUCAUUUUUUUAAUAAAUGGAGUCUGGGUUCCACAGAGAGAGAAACUGUUUAAACUAUUCAGUUAAUUAAAGCUUAAUUUGUCAUUAACAUCAUGAGUCAGAGCAACUAUAGACCUACAAGGAAAUAAUAGCAGAAAAUUCAUGGUCUUUACAUAGAAUUCUUUGAUUCCACUAAAGUGAGAUGAUUUGGGGUAUUUAAAGAAAAAAAGAAAUAAUUUGAGCAUGUGCUGCUACAUUUAUAAGUAAAUAAGAUCAAGGCAAGUCUCGAGGACUGUCACAAGGCAGAUCAUAUCUGACCAAUCUGGUGGCCUUCUAUUGUGGAAUGAUGACAUUGUUGGACAAAGGAAGGGCAACUUAUGUUGUCUACAUGGACUUGUACAAGGUGUUUUCUAUGAUCCUGCAGUACUUCCUUCUCUCAAAAUUGGAGAAAUAUGGAUUUGAAAUCUGGACUAUUCAGUACAGAAAGAAUUGGUUGGAUGGCAAUAGCCAGAGGGUUGUUGUGGAUGACUCUACGUCCAGAUGAAAUAUGCUCAAGGGUGGUGUCCCCCAAGUGUCCAUCUUGGAAUCUGCACUCUUUAAUAUCUUUAUCAACAACAUAGAUGAUGGGAUCAAGUGCACCCUAAGCAAGAUUGCUGAUGACACUACACUGAGUGGUGCAGUUGACACGAUAGAGGGAAGGGACACUAUUUGCAGGGACCUAAAUGGACUUGAAAAGUGGUCAUACAAGAACCUAAUGAGGUUUAACAAGGCCAAGUGCAAAGUGUUGCAGUUGGAUUGAGGUGAUCCCAGAUAUGACUACAGACUGGGAGAAAAACUCACUGAGAGCAGCCCUGUGGAGAAGAACUUGGAGGUCCUGAUGGACAAAAACUGGACAUGAGCCAGCAGUGUCCUCUUCCAGACCAGAAAGUAAACAGUAUACUUGGCUGCAUUAAUUUUUUUUUUUCCUAUAUCUUUGUUGGAUACAAGGGAAAAGUCUUUUAUAGUGAGGGUGGUGGAGCACUGGAAUAUGUUGCCUAGAGAUAUGGUUGAUGCCCUAUUCCUGGAUACUUUCAAGGGGUGCAGCCUAAAAUUGCAUUUCUGCUGUUGUAUUAGCAUGGAUUUGUGCCUGAGCCCAGCCUACUCUUUCCACAAAAGCUGAAGUGAUGGAUGGAAAUCUGCUUUUCAUCUGGAGAAAACUAAGUGUGGAAAACUAAGUGCAAAGUGCAGGAUUGGCUGAUCUUCUUUGACCAGAUCUAUCUGACUCCUCACCACCUACUCUGUGCGAUUGCAUGGCAUAUUUCUGCGCUUUGAGUGUCCUCGCAGAAUUUUAUUCCCAGCCCUUUGUCUUGAUUUCAGCUGGGAAAGAGUUGACUUUCUUCACAGUGUCAGGACAAUGGGAAUUGAAAUUGAAGAAUAUGAAAGUGAUCUGCUGGCUUUGUAAGAUAACCACAACAUGGGACUGAACGUGAUAAGCAACAGGGCUACAGUUCUGCAAAGCACUGGAGCAUAUAUUUCUAAAUACUUUGACUAUUUUCUCUUUGUAACUGGAUGAGAUUUCUGACAGGAAGUCAAAUGAAGCCACUCCUGGUGGUGUAGAUUGCAGCUUUUCAAUGAGACUCAGCAGUUUUAAUCGCUUGCUUAAUUAUCCACAUGUGCUUAAGUACUUUGCCAGAUACGGCCUCAGCUCUUAGCUCUUUGCAGGAUUGUGCCUUAAAGCUGUUACCAAUGCUUUCAUCCAGGGAAAGCAGCUAUUUCUGUAUGAAUUACUCUUAUCCCAGUACCAUGCAGGUUUCUAAACUAUUUAAAAAGAAUGCAUGAACUUGUGAAAAAUAAUUGUACUGUGUUUAUAAUAAAAUAUUUGAUCUGAAGAG